UGACGCCUGGCCGCUAGCUCGUUAGAGCUCGUAUUAGCAUGCGUGCUACCCGAUCACGGAAAGUCAGACCGGCCACAGAGGACGCGUACUCCGAGAAGACCUUUAGCUGUCACCGAGACGCUGCUUUGAUGUCUUCCUGUGGGACGUACUUGUGCCACAUAGGAUCCUCUGGCUCAUUUGCGAAGCCGGAGUUGGGCUAGCUGGCGGAGACGUGAGCGAGCUAGCAAGAAAAUCAUCCUGCUCUCAAGUCAUAAGAACUCCAGUCGCACGCCAUCAUCCAUUCCAACCCCGACUAACGAUUCCUCCCUCGGACACUAAUCUCGAUUUAUUUUAUUUUACAUGAGGGGGUUGGAUUACAGCACCCGUUUGGAAUGGAUGAAAAUGAUUGACUGUCAUCGGCACUUAAUGUAAACCAUGUAAACAUCAGCUCUUAAGAGCGUGAAGUUAAUUUUGUGUUCAGAUUUGCAAUUCAAAUAAUACAACAUCAUAUAAUGAGAGCAGAAUGCCCUUGCAAAAUGUCACUGUAUUUUAAACAAACAUUAAAUAUGACAUGUUAGGCAAAUCAUUUUUUAUUACUACUUAUAUAUGAAUUUUUAAUUCCAUAUAUGGGCAUUUGAUGAUUUUUUUUAAUGUCCAGUAGUGAUCCACUGUGAUCAAACCGCAGCUAGGUGGUGCUAUUGAGAGCCAUGCCUCGGAGUUGGAAAACAACAAAGUGCAUCAGAGCUCACAGAAAUCAUCCAAAAAUUCAACGGCGUAGCAUUUUUUAACAUGGCUAUGCAAAAUGUAUGAUCAUCUACAAUUGUUGCCCUUCAAAUGACAGCAAUGCAGGUCUGCACCCACAAGGCUCACUAUGUGGAAGGAGUAUGUUGCCAUACAUCACAACGUUUAACCCUUUGAACUGUCAGCGACACUUCACUCAGACUCCCUCUCGACACGUUCAUCUGUCAGACGGAAAU